rnacentral:rRNA from 1 species
GAUGAACGCUGGCGGCGUGCCUAAUACAUGCAAGUCGAGCGAACAGACGAGGAGCUUGCUCCUCUGACGUUAGCGGCGGACGGGUGAGUAACACGUGGAUAACCUACCUAUAAGACUGGGAUAACUUCGGGAAACCGGAGCUAAUACCGGAUAACAUGUUGAACCGCAUGGUUCAACAGUGAAAGACGGUCUUGCUGUCACUUAUAGAUGGAUCCGCGCCGCAUUAGCUAGUUGGUAAGGUAACGGCUUACCAAGGCAACGAUGCGUAGCCGACCUGAGAGGGUGAUCGGCCACACUGGAACUGAGACACGGUCCAGACUCCUACGGGAGGCAGCAGUAGGGAAUCUUCCGCAAUGGGCGAAAGCCUGACGGAGCAACGCCGCGUGAGUGAAGAAGGUCUUCGGAUCGUAAAACUCUGUUAGUAGGGAAGAACAAAUGUGUAAGUAACUAUGCACGUCUUGACGGUACCUAAUCAGAAAGCCACGGCUAACUACGUG